AUGAUCACAGCUCCAAAGUUGUGCAGUCUGGUCAUGAGAAGCAGUAGCGAAGUAAUGACCAAACGGACCAAAGGCAACAUCCCAAACCGGGCCAGUAUGUCCCUUGUAAGCUACCAAAGCAGUUUUUGUGUCAACAGACCACAGCCGGGCGCUAGCAUCUUCGGAACAAGAUAGUAAAUAUUUAUUAUCGGGAGAAAAUGUGGUGCCGUAAACAGGACCAGAAUGACUCAGUAAACGUACUGAGCCAUCUGAAUCCUCUACAGAAGUUGACUUAGGUAAUGAUUUUUUGUCAGCCUUUAUUGACCAUAGCCGUAUAUAACUUUCUUGAAAACCACAGGCGAUCAUUGUGGAGUCAGGAGAAAAUUCAGCACAGUUCAUGUUGUUAUUGGUGUGAUGGAAUGUGUACAUACAAACACUAGGAAGGGAGGCUCUAGGUCCAAGAUGUAAUCUUUUACUCCAAUCUUUCACAGCCUCAACUUCUGAAAGAAUAUCAACACCUUUAUGAGGAGGAAGAGGGAUAUAAUCUCUAGACGGAGCAUCUUCAGCAUUAGGUUCAUGCAGCUUUCUAAAUUCUUUUAAUAGUUUUGGAGAUUGGUUAUUUGGAUCGUUUUGGUGCAUCAUAUCCUCUUCUUCUAAGUCCAUCUCUACAAUUUUUUCCAUUUCUUUGUCCAUUGGCAUUUGUUGCAGCUUUACAGGUUGAAGUUGAGCAUCUCCUCGUUCAAAGGAUUGGCCGGUAAUACCUUCUUGUUCAUUGAUAACUUUAGCAUUUUCCAAGACGGUGGGACGUCCGGGAACGAUAUGGAUAUCUAUAUGCUGAUUGAUUAAUUUAAUGAUAAUUGACCCACCGUUUGAAACGUUUUCAAAUAAGAAAUGAAGCAAUAAAUCAAAUGUUAUCCUAGAAAAAUGGAGUUGAUAUUUAUUUUGCCGGUAUUGUUGAGCAGUGCGGUCUUCUGCGACAUGGCUUGGAAGACUCAGCGAUUUUAAGUUUUUUACAUCAAAGUCAUGAAGAUCAGUAUGAUCGUCUUUGAAGAGUUCGUAAAAUUGCUUUGCUAUAGCACGUUAGUAAAAUUAUCAUUUAUCCUUAUAAAGAAUUAAAUAUGGGUGGUCAAGUGGAAUGAGUUUCAGAAAUAAAGACAAGUUGUAAACUCAAUAGAUAAAGAAACUAAUAAGUAUUUAGAAUAGUUCAAAUACCCCUCUUGUUCGUAGAUCAUCGAAACAAACAUGUAACAAAUUCGUAACCUCCUCCAAUAUGACCAACUUACCAGCUUCAUAAUGAUCUUGAGACAAGAGAUUAAGAUAUGAGUGAACAAAUAUAGGAAAUAAUAUCCUGUGAAGUUCAGCUUUGUACAAUUCUAACGAACUAUCCACCCAGUCUCGUAAGAUCGUAUACGUGUGUGUGUAUGCAUCUGGAGUUUCCUCAAUGCUUUUUAACUUCUCCUCUACUGACACGCCAGAACCCGAUGCUUCCAAACGAAGCAUCGCCUCGGUCCUUGAGUAUCCCUUCUUCGCAAGGUAAUCCAGAACAAUUCUGUUCAGAUCCUGCGGUUGCGGCCCAUUAGUGGCAGACAUGGUUAAAUUCUCCAAUACUCUAGCUUGAAGAAAUUAAUUAGAAUCCAAAUAUAAAUCUACAAAUGACCGUGAUUCAUAUAAUUACCUGCGCAGAGCUCAAAGCAACUUGCUAGGAAGUAGCAUAUGUCGAGUUCGUGUCUAUUAACAUACCAUUGUGUACCACGCUAAAUUGGGAAUUUGCAGGAUUUAUGAAUAACUGAAAUUUGGAAAGGUUCCACAGUGUCUGUGAGCGUUUUGAUGUCGAAAUCCUAUCUAAAUUACUAUUUCUUUUGUCCUACUCAAAAAUGAACUGUCUAUGAAAUUGUUUUAAUGUCAACACAGGAUUGCGAGGCAAUGAACGCUAGAAAAAAAAAAUAAAUAAAUAAAAGUUUUGCAUA
rnacentral:lncRNA from 1 species